UGAACAUCUUCUUUCCCCUGGCUAGGUAGAAGGAAAGACCCUGGCCCAUGAAAUGACAAGGCACUUCUGGCAGGAGAAAAUGAUUCCCAUUAGCUGCAUUCCCACUGCACUUCCCUUUCUCCUGGCCAUGUAAGAGGAAGGACCCGCCCCAGGAAGUGAUUGGGCACUCUCGGAAAACAGCAGUCACAUUGUGAGCCCGGAGCUGGAAAGCAGCCAGGACCUCGCAGGAAAUGCAUGUAGAGCUGCGUGUGGAACAGGCUGUGACUGCUGGACAUGACAGCUGGGUGCAGGAGGUGUUGGUUGGGCUGGAAGUCACCAAGCCACUGAUCGGCCCAUUUCCUGCCUCUCCGUUCAAGUUGGCCGCACUGACAUUUGGAGGAGUAAUGGCUGCUGCUGCUGAAGUGAGAGGAAUGAUGGGCCUGGCACACUGUGCUCCAGGAAUAACCUGGACAGGGGACUGGUGGGCAUGUUGUGGAGAAGCCAUGGAGUGUGACCUAACCACAGUGGCUGGGAGACGGGAUGGAGAGUUCUGGGUUCUCAGUGGUGAGACGGUUGCCGUGGGCCGCUCCGGUACCUGGGCAGAGGGGUGUGCUACUGAAGAAUAACAGGAGGCAUCAGCGUUUCUAGGCUUGAAGGAAACUGACAGUGCCAAAAACAGCAAAAGAAAUGGUCGGAGAAGACUCAGCUGUGAGCAAGGCUUCUACAGUCUAUAGCUGUCUUUGCUCUAAACAUCUGUGGGUUUGGAUUGUGCUGUGUCAAUCAUUCUAUUAAUUAGCAAUGUUCACUGAAGACUAUUUUUGUUCUGGACUGCUCAUAUUUCAUUUUCUGUAUUUCGACAUUAGUGGAUUUGUGAAAAAAUUGAUUUGUUAUUCAUGUAUAUUGCAAGCCAACAAGAGCAUGACUUGAAUAUUGUAUAAUUUUCUUUUAUUGGAAGUACCUUCUUUUUUUUAAGACAUAGGAUUAAGUUUCUUCACUCUGCAGGACGAGAUGCAGAAGAGCUCUGUAGGAUUUGGGCUACUGGACAGCAGCCUAUUUGGCCAUUGUGGAUUGGUGAAAGAGAAAUUGAACUGGAGUAUUCCUUACGUCAAUGUUGGAAAUUCUGCUAAUUUUCCCUUUACUUUGUGAAUUAUAUGGGCCAACAUAUUGUGUCUAAUACAUUGUUUGUUUUUUUGAGAUCUUAAAAUAAACCUCAAAUACCCA